rnacentral:rRNA from 1 species
AGUGAACGCUGGCGGCGUGCUUAACACAUGCAAGUCGAACGAGAACGGGAUAUAGCUUGCUAUAUUUGUCAGCUAAGUGGCGCACGGGUGAGUAAUGUAUAGGUAAUAUGCCUCUUACUAAGGGAUAACAAUUGGAAACGAUUGCUAAUACCUUAUAGGCCUUUAAGACUAAAGUCUGCAAGGGAAAGUUUUAUUGGUAAGAGAUUAGCCUGUAUUGUAUCAGCUAGUUGGAGAGGUAAUGGCUCACCAAGGCUAUGACGCAUAACUGGUUUGAGAAGAUGAUCAGUCACACUGGAACUGAGACACGUUCCAGACUCCUACGGGAGGCAGCAUUAGGGAAUAUUGCACAAUGGACGAAAGUCUGAUGCAGCAACGCCGCGUGGAGGAUGACACAUUUCGGUGCGUAAACUCCUUUUAUAUAGGAAGAUGAUUACGUUACUAUAUGAAUAAGCACCGGCUAACUCCGUGCCAGCAGCCGCCGUAA